rnacentral:rRNA from 1 species
UACGUAGGUGACCAGCGUUGUCCGGAUUUACUGGGCGUAAAGAGCGCGCAGGCGGUCGUUCAAGUCGAGUGUGAAAGCCCCCGGCUCAACUGGGGAGGGUCACGCGAUACUGAUCGACUCGAAGGCAGGAGAGGGUAGUGGAAUUCCCGGUGUAGUGGUGAAAUGCGUAGAUAUCGGGAGGAACACCAGUGGCGAAGGCGACUACCUGGCCUGUUUCUUGACGCUGAGGCGCGAAAGCUAGGGGAGCAAACGGG